GACAGAGGGUGCAAACGUUGCUCGGAAUUACUGGGCGUAAAGCGCGUGUAGGUGGAUUGGUGUGUCAGAUGUGGAAUCCCUGGGCUCAACCCAGGAACUGCACCUGAAACUACCAGUCUUGAGUGGUGGAGAGGGAAGUGGAAUUCCUGGUGUAGAGGUGAAAUUCGUAGAUAUCGGGAGGAACACCGGUGGCGAAGGCGGCGACCUGGGUAGAUACUGACGCUGAGGUGCGAAAGCGUGGGGAGCAAACAGG
rnacentral:rRNA from 1 species